AGGGUGGUCAACCGUCCUGGUUUGCCUGGGACUGCGGGAUUGCCCAGGACACGGG
rnacentral:miRNA from 1 species